CAACUGGGCAGAGGAUCCUCCUCCAGUCACCACUGGUGCUGGCUGAGCUCCUGUGUGUUUAGCUGCUGCCUUCUGCUCACUUGUCCCACUGCAGAAAGGGCAGGACUGAACCUGUGAAGCAUUUUGCGAAGCAUUGAAUGAGCAUGGAGGGAAUGUCUGAGAGUCCCUGACAAGCUCAGCAGGAUGGAUAUCCAGCAAACAACUGGUCCUACUAGCAAAGACUGAAGCAACAAAAGUAGGGAUGUCCUUUUUGGAGGUAGCCAGAUGUGACAAACCCUUUUUCAUUUCAGAGGAAAAAUGCACUCAAAAGAACAUUUGUAACUGAAAAAUGAAAACAAACAGGAAAUAAAAGCAUGUGCCCUCUUUGAAUCACAAGUGAGUAUGUACAAAACCGUGAAAGAAACCAAUUAAGACUGAAUGCAACUUUUAUUCCUUGUAUCACACAGCAUAUCCCAUGAGGUUGUUUCCUGAGAAAUAGAAUGCUACAGUGAGAAAAAUGCAUACUCUGAUGCCAUUUUCUAUUUAAUAU